UACACAAAAAAACAAAGAAAAAGAGAGGCGCCUCCUCUCGUGGCUCUUCCCUGCCUUUACCCGUCCUUCUCUUUACUCCCUCUGUCCACAUCCCGGUAGUGGCUGAAGCGAUUCUCUUUUUCUUUUCUGUGUGUGUGUCUUGUCCUUUUUUUUGGAGUUGUUCCUUCUCCGAGCUCUUGCCUAAGCCUACGAGUACAGAUUUGCCGGCAUCGUCCUCACCGUGUAUACAGACGCAGAGACAGCUUGCUUUUUUCCCUUGUUCGCCUGUCUCGCUGUCUGUCCCGUCUUCCCUUCUUCUCUCGUCCGUGCUCCCCUUUCGCGCUCGCGCUCGCGUUCUCUCGCGCAGACACUCCCCUUGCGUCGGCGCUCUUCUGUGUUGUCGAUACACCUUUACACCUGUAAAUCUACAUAUACGAACACACACACACACGCACAGACAGACACAUAAAGAAAAGAACGCGCUCUUCGACAAGAUGAGCAGCAAAGUCGUCUCCAGUCCGGUGACUCCGAACAGCCCGCUGUCAGUCUCCCAGCAUGUAUGCGACUUCAAGAGUGUGUUGGACUCGAACGUUGUGGAGCCGACAGAGGCGAACCGGAAAAAGUCGCACGUCGGCCCCCACCUCGGCUGUCGCAUGCGCAUCUACGAGUACUCCAUCGAGCACAAUGACGCCUUCUGGGCCGAAAUUGCACGGCGCGACUUCUACUGGAAGACGACCUGGCCGGAUGACCAGCACGUCAAGUCGUACAACUUCGACAAAUCCAAGGGCCCCAUCUUUGUGAAGUGGUUCGAGGGCGCCGUGACGAACGUCUGCUACAACGCGUUGGACCGCCACCUGCCGGCGCACAAGGAUCGCGUGUGCUUUUACUUUGAAGGCAACGACCCGAGUGUGACGGAAGCAGUCACGUACGGCAGCAUGUACACGAGGGUGGUGGAGCUGGCGAACGUGCUGAAGUACCAGUACGGUAUUGCAAAGGGCGACCGCGUUGGCCUGUAUCUACCCAUGAUCCCGUUCGCUGCGGUGGCCAUGCUCGCCUGCGCCCGCAUCGGUGCGGUGGCCAGUGUCAUCUUUGGCGGAUUUUCGGCUCAGGCGAUCGUGACUCGUGUCACGGACUGCAGCCCGAAGCUCAUCAUCACUGCUGACGCGUCCUCUCGCGGUGAUAAGCCGAUUCUGCUCAAGACAAUCGCGGACCAGGCCCUGGACGACUGCAGCGUCCUUGGGUGCAACGUCCCGUGUCUCGUAUUCGAAAACAUGAACCGUCAAUCCUGCAAGAUGAAGGAAGGCCGAGAUACCUGGUACGGCGAUGCCUUAGCCCGACUGACGCCGGAGCAGCACGAGGAGUGCCCGGUGGAGUGGAUGGACGCGGAGGAUGUGCUGUUCCUGCUCUACACCUCCGGCAGCACAGGGAAACCCAAAGCCAUCGUGCACACGACGGCGGGCUACAUGGUGUACGCCUCCACCACGUUCAUGUACAGCUUCGACUACCACAUGGACGACGUGUACUUCUGCACGGCUGAUAUUGGCUGGAUCACAGGCCACAGCUACGUCGUGUAUGGUCCGAUGAUUCACUGCGCCACGUCGGUGCUGUUCGAGGGUGUGCCGAACUACCCCGACUACUCGCGCUGGUGGCAGCUCGUCGAGAAGUACAAGGUGUCCAUCCUCUACACCGCGCCCACCGCGAUCCGCUCCCUCAUGCAGGCCGGCGACGACUACGUCAAGGUGGGCAACCGCAGCACCCUGCGUGUGCUGGGCUCUGUCGGCGAGCCGAUCAACGUGGAGGCGUGGAAGUGGCUGCGCGAUGUCGGCGGCGAGGGCCACUGCGAUGUGUCGGACACGUGGUGGCAGACCGAGACGGGCGGCCACAUGAUUACACCGAUGCCGGGCUGCACCCCCAUGAAACCCGGUAGUGCAACGCUGCCGUUCUUCGGUGUCCAGCCGGUUAUUCUCGACCCCAUGAAGCUGCAUGAGAAGCAGGGCCCCGCGGAGGGCCUGCUCGCCAUUCGCGCGCCGUGGCCUGGUAUGGCCCGCACCAUCUACGGUGACCACGCACGCUUUGAGAAAACCUACUUUGGCGUGGACGGGUACUACAUGACAGGCGACGGUGCUCGCCGCGACUCGGACGGCUAUUACUGGAUCACGGGCCGCGUCGAUGACGUGCUGAACGUGAGCGGGCACCGCAUCGGCACCAGCGAGAUCGAAGACGCCGUCAACACCCACCCGGCCGUGGUGGAGAGCGCCGUCGUCGGCUUCCCUCACAACAUCAAGGGUGAGGGCAUCUACGUCUUCUUUACGUUCCGCCAGGGGACGGAGGUGACGCCCGAGCUGCUGGCGGCGGUGAAGGCGACUGUGCGCAAGGUGAUUGGCCCGCUGGCCACGCCGGACGUGCUUCACCCCGCGCAGGAAGGACUGCCCAAAACGCGCUCCGGCAAGAUUGUGCGCCGCAUCCUGCGCAAGAUCGCCACGCACAACGACGACGACCUGGGCGACACCUCGACCCUGGCAGACCCCACCGUCGUGGAGGCGCUGAAGCGCUCGCGUGCGAAGUGGGUGGAUGAAAAGUAGACGCGAAGACAGCAUUGAUGAUUUACAUAAAGAAGCGAUAUGUAGAAGCAAACAGAAACGAAGGAGAAGUGUAUGUAUAUGUAUAUAUGCAUAUGUAUGUAUGCAUAUGUAUGUAUAUGUAUAUGUAUGUAUAGAGAGAGGAGAAAAGCGAUCUUGCAUGCGUGCUCUGGCACCCGCGUGCAUGACGUCAAAAAAAAAGAAGCGACAAAGAGGGAUGGGCUACCAAGAGGUGAGAGGUGAACCAGGGCCCCAAGCACGCAGAAUAAAAAAAAAGACUUGUCCAGCUCACUUUAAGCCGUGACUUGGAGGCGAGGAGGAAAAGGAACGAUGGGGCGAGGGAGGGGGGCUACUGGCCACGCGGCAGCAUGGUAAUCGCGGAAGCAUGUCUGCACGUACACGUGUUGGUUUGUGCUUGUAGGUCUGCGCGUGUGUGUGCACAUGCGCAUCGCGGCUUUAGUACAUCGGCUAGCUGUUUGUCGAGGAGGCCAAGGAAUGUGAAAAAAGCAACAACAACUUAGGAGCAAAAACCUAACCGAAAAAGGACCGUUGGCUAUGCGGCGUAAUGGGCGGUGGAAGCGCUAAAUAACGGUACGAGGGGUGCGACCAGUAGCGGCAUCGUCAGUCUCGUUGUUAAAGUGAAGUGGAUGGCAAGAGGCAGAGGGCGUACCACACUUCUAUAGUACGGGCAGCGUCGCUGCUUUUUUUUUAUUUCUUCUCUGGGCGUAACCUGAUCACAGCGGCCACCUCUUUGUGCGCGAUAGCAGGGUGUAGCAUCAACUCUGUGGGAAAGCCAAAACCCUACAGCAUGCCCUUGGGUACGGUUGCGGACUCGUGGUGUUGGCGGGCAGGCCUGGACUAGCGCAGUGCCGAAGAGGCCUGCGACCAUCAUGACGCUUUUGCCAGCUUACUACGGAUCGCGUUGGCGAUUCAACAAGUAGAUACAUCCACGUCGUAUUCUUUUUUUUCUCUGCCUUUGCUGCAUUGCAG
rnacentral:misc_RNA from 1 species